GUUGUGAGGUUAAGCGACCAAGCGUACACGGUGGAUGCCCUGGCAGUCAGAGGCGAUGAAGGACGUGCUAAUCUGCGAAAAGCGCCGGCAAGGUGAUAUGAACCGCUACAGCCGGCGAUGUCCGAAUGGGGAAACCCGGUGCACCCAGUGCAUCAUCGCAGCAUGAAUACAUAGUGCUGCGAGGCGAACCGGGGGAACUGAAACAUCUAAGUACCCCGAGGAAAAGAAAUCAACCGAGAUUCCCCCAGUAGCGGCGAGCGAACGGGGAGCAGCCCAGAGCCUGAAUCAGCUUGUGCGUUAGUGGAAGCGUCUGGAAAGGCGCGCGAUACCGGGUGACAGCCCCGUACACGAAAACGCACUUGCUGUGAGCUCGAAGAGUAGGGCGGGACACGUGGUAUCCUGUCUGAAUAUGGGGGGACCAUCCUCCAAGGCUAAAUACUCCUGACUGACCGAUAGUGAACCAGUACCGUGAGGGAAAGGCGAAAAGAACCCCGGCGAGGGGAGUGAAACAGAACCUGAAACCGUGUACGUACAAGCAGUGGGAGCCUUCUUUAUGGGGGUGACUGCGUACCUUUUGUAUAAUGGGUCAGCGACUUAUAUUCUGUAGCAAGGUUAACCGCAUAGGGGAGCCGAAGGGAAACCGAGUCUUAACCGGGCGCUAAGUUGCAGGGUAUAGACCCGAAACCCGGUGAUCUAGCCAUGGGCAGGUUGAAGGUUGGGUAACACUAACUGGAGGACCGAACCGACUAAUGUUGAAAAAUUAGCGGAUGACCUGUGGCU
rnacentral:rRNA from 1 species